AUUGCUAGCAGAGGGUGCUGUCUCUGAAUUGCUGACAUAGUGUGCUGUCUCUGUAUCACAUGAAGAGUGUGCUGUCUCUAUAUUGCUGGCAGAGUGUGCUGUCUCUGCAUCACCUGCAAAGUGUGCUGUCUCUGUAUAGCUAGCAGAGUGCGCUGUCUCUGUACUGCUGACAGAAUGGGCUGUUUCUGUAUUGUUGGCAGAGUGUGCUGUCUCUGUAUUGCUGACAGAAUGGGCUGUCUCUGUAUUGUUGGCAGAGUGUGCUGUCUCUGUAUUGCUGAC